rnacentral:lncRNA from 1 species
AAGAGAGACCUUUGACAUCCUGUCAUCUACUGAUCUUCCUCAGCUGUGGGGAAAAGAGCUGAAGACAAGCAUCAAAGAGAAAUAUGCACCAAGGAAGGUUGUGGACCUUUCCUGUUCAAAGAAGGUGAACAACAUCCACGUAGAGCUGCCUUCUGAGGACAUCUUGAAGAGGCUGCUGCACGGUUUACCAUACAGUUCUACAGCAUUCCGUCACAGUGAAAGCAGAAACCACAAGCAUACAGCAGAUGCAGCCAGCAGCCCCUCUACAAGUGGUAAAGAAGCCUGCAGUGCUGCAGAUGCAGCAAAUACAAG